GCCAAUGUGGUCUAGUGGUUAAGGCACUAGGCAAGAAACCAGGAAAGUUAAGUUCAAUUCUUGCCUUAGGCA
rnacentral:tRNA from 1 species